CAUCCUGGGACGGAGGUUGACUGCUAUCACAUAUACUCAAGAUAAGUGCCAGCUGAAGCGGAUAGCUUCACUCGGCUCAGCGAGAUGAUUGCUGUUUUAAAUAAACAGAAACGAGCUGCGACACAUCUGUGAGUAACUGGAGGAACUUCAAGACGUACAGGGAAAGCCUCUUAUCCCAACAACGAUGUUUGGAUCGACACCUGAAAUGACAGGCGAGCUCAGGAGCUGUAUGGAGUCACAUGUCCUUUCUUGUGUCCAAAGUGUGAAGCAGAUUAAAUGAACUGUCAUCGA